CAGUAGCCGCGGGAACACAGAGGGUGCGAGCGUUAAUCGGAUUUACUGGGCGUAAAGCGUGCGUAGGCGGCUUUUUAAGUCGGAUGUGAAAUCCCUGAGCUUAACUUAGGAAUUGCAUUCGAUACUGGGAAGCUAGAGUAUGGGAGAGGAUGGUAGAAUUCCAGGUGUAGCGGUGAAAUGCGUAGAGAUCUGGAGGAAUACCGAUGGCGAAGGCAGCCAUCUGGCCUAAUACUGACGCUGAGGUACGAAAGCAUGGGGAGCAAACAGGAUUAGAUACCCCCGUAGUCCCUGUCUCUUAUAC
rnacentral:rRNA from 1 species